UACGUAGGGGGCAAGCGUUAUCCGGAUUCACUGGGUUUAAAGGGUGCGUAGGUGGAUUAGUAAGUCAGUGGUGAAAUCUCCGGGCUUAACCCGGAAACUGCCAUUGAUACUAUUAGUCUUGAAUACCGUGGAGGUCAGCGGAAUAUGUCAUGUAGCGGUGAAAUGCUUAGAUAUGACAUAGAACACCAAUUGCGAAGGCAGCUGGCUACACGAAUAUUGACACUCAGGCACGAAAGCGUGGGGAACAAACAGG
rnacentral:rRNA from 1 species